CAGUCGCCGCGGGAAAACCGAGGGUGCAAGCGUUAAUCGGAAUUACUGGGCGUAAAGCGCGCGUAGGUGGUUCGCCAAGUUGGAUGUGAAAUCCCCGGGCUCAACCUGGGAACUGCAUCCAAAACUGGCGAGCUAGAGUAUGGUAGAGGGUGGUGGAAUUUCCUGUGUAGCGGUGAAAUGCGUAGAUAUAGGAAGGAACAUCAGUGGCGAAGGCGACCACCUGGACUGAUACUGACACUGAGGUGCGAAAGCGUGGGGAGCAAACAGGAUUAGAUACCCCUGUAGUCCCUGUCUCUUAUAU
rnacentral:rRNA from 1 species